rnacentral:tRNA from 1 species
UGACCUUGUAACUCAGUUGGUUAGAGUAUCACGUUAACACAAGCGUGACUAGCGGCGAUUACCGUGAAAGUCCCCGGUUCGAGUCCGGGCAAGGUCAU